AUUCGCCGAACUUCGGCGACUUGAAAACGAUUCAGAUAAAUCGAAGUUCGGCGUUUGGUACCGGGUAAUUUCCGAUGUUCAUUGCAAUCUGGAUGAAAAUCAAUCCAUAGAUAAUAAUAGACAUAUUAGAGGGGUGCAUGAUUGAACGAAUGACUUUUGGUCUUGCGUUCCGUUGAGACAUUUGGUAAACAUUUAAUAUUUUAUAUCAUUAUGAAAUUAAAAAAUACAGACUAAUUUUGUAUGUUAUUUUUAUUAAUUGAUAAUAUUUUUAGUUAAUCACUUUGUAAAGUCUUACAAAUGUUUAAAACAAAAGGAAAAUGCAACGACGGAUUUUUCUUUUGCAACUGAAGUAAUGAAACGCAAAAAAAAAAGAAAAAUGACGUUAUGUUAUAUCAGCUGACAUACUUGAAUUCGCGCCGAAUGCAACAGUUUUAUCUUCUCAGAAUUUAUACAAUAACAACAAUAACGAAAGAAAUAUCACCGAUUUACUACCUACUAGAUCUGAGAGUCGGAGGCUAGACAUGGAGGAGCGACUUGUUUCAGCAGUUAACAAGCUGGCUGGCUACAGCUGCUGAAGCUAAUAGCAAGGCCGCGGAUAUGCAAACAGAGUUGCUUCGGCUGCUGCUGGAGGAAGCUAGGUGAAGACCAAUAUAAGGUUAAAGAAUAGCAGCAUGACGAUUCUCAAGAACAAAGACACUAGCGAAGAACGAAGAUACAAACUAAGUUAAAAUACUUAAGUAAAAACAUAUGUAUUCAAUAAACUUGUAUGUAAAUAUUUAAGCUAAAGUAUAAGUACUCCAUUUAUGUUAUUUAAGUGAAGUUGUAUUUAAUUUAAAUACUUAAGUUUGGUCAUGUUAUUUAAGUGAGUUUGUCUAGGGGUAACAUUAAAGUACAUUAAAGACAAAGCAACUAGAUAUCAUUUUACCAAGAACUAUUUUGAAACAAAAAUAAUAUAGCAUCACGCUUCUAUUCCCGAAGGGGUAAGC